CUCACAGCGAGGAUGUGAAAAUAAAUUCUUGAAUGAGAAUGGAGCUCUCAGGUUUGCCUCGAUUGUUCAGGUCCAUUUGAGGUCUACAGAACAAGCCAAAGCCCACGCCAGAAGUCAGUGGCAGAAGGCUCAACCACUAAGAUUAAAAUUUCCGUCUCCAGCUCUUUUUGAAUGGUUUGCAUGACCUUUCUGACAGGAGCGUAUACAGCCAGCUACUUGCUGCAUGGGGAAUGGGGAUCUCCUGCUUAAUGGAAAUGCUGAAAUCCAGCCUGUGUGUGCGUGGGGAGAUGCUUGAGGGUUUCAAAGGAACAAACCCAGAUGGGGGACGGUGGGCACUGCCCUGCGGUACCCCACACCGUGGGCUGCAAAGGGUGGGUCACUGGAGUCACUGGAAUGGGAUCAUGCUGAUAUGCCCACGCUGCGCUGUAUCACCUGGGGUUGGGAUGUCCCGGGCCGGCCCUGAGCAUCCCUGUGAAGCACAUCAGCUGCUCAGAGAAGAAGAGAUAAGGAACCGGUGAGAGUUCGCUGAUAAGCCCAUGGGGUGGGGAAGUGGGAUCUGGCUGAACUUCUGCAGGAUGUUUAUCACAGUCUGUGGCACAUAAAAGCAGCCAAAUUGCUUCCAAGAUCUAAGCCAGAUAUGGAAACAAGUCAGGUGCUUUUCGCGCGGUGCUGCAUUUAUAGGAGCAACUCAGCAGCUUCAGCCCGGGGCUGCCUCUGCAGUGGGUGAUGACCUCCCAGAGUCUUUGCAGCUUUUGUAGCAGGUUACUCCCCUGCUUGGCCAUCGGUUGCCCACAGCUGCCGGUGAGCUGACUACAAGCCCCUCUUCCAUCUGGAUGCCUCUUGUAAUGGAUGCUUUCCAACUAGAUAGAUACAAACCUGCUAGUGUGGUGUUAUCAAGCAUAAAAGAGAGCUACCCAAUAGAAAUUAUACACUCACUGCCACCUUUUCCAUUUUUAGCAUUAUAAAACACAGGCAGUUAUCCACAUCAUAAAAAGGAGGAAAAUAUUACCAAUAUUACUGCAGUAUAAGUUUAUGUUUCUGUAUUAAUGCUAUGGGUGAAUAUUUUUUCACGUAUCUAAAGCAUAGUUAAAUUGUGGAACUCAUUCCAAUAGGAAGUUACAGAAACCACAAAUAUAGAUGACUUAAUAAUGUCAAAUUUAUGACUCAGAGGCUCAUCAGUGCCUGUUAAGUAUCUGGAUCCAAAUGUAAACUCCAGCUAAGCAUGUUCCUAAACUUGAAACUACUAGAAAUGGAGGUGUUCUUGUGAAAGAAACAUUGUGUAAUUGCUUUGCUUUUAAUUAGCUUUGCUUAAGCUGACAUCUCUGAUACCAGACACUAGACUAGAUGGAGACUCACUCUGACUGAGUAGAAUUUGAAAUAUUUGACCUCCCUCUCACAUAAUAACUUAUCUCUUUCCAAAUGUCAUAUAAGACAUACUUGCUAGCAAUGUUCAGUAUGUGCUUCCAGGUGAUACCAAGUAGGAUUUACUGAAGAGACAUUUUUGCCCGUGUAACGUUUUCAAAGGGAUUUUAGUGAGAUGGCUGUGGGGACUGAGUUUGGUUAGCAUCAUUCAAAAGUUUGGUCACUGGCUUUUUUUCUCAUUUGUCCAGGAUAAAGACUGAACUCAUGCCAGCUGAGAUCAGUACCCUUCAGAAAGUGGUGUCUGAGACCUUGCUGUGCUAUGAAGAGAUAUAGAGUCCACAAUACCUAGCUCUGGAAAAGCACAGUCUGGAUUUGAGAAGAUCUUGCAAGGGUUAGUAGAAGACAGUGGAAAAUGGACUUCAAUUUCUCUAAACCUGUAUUAUGCUCUUAUAGGGAAAAUAAGACUGCAGUGACAAAGUCCUGGAGAAGGGCUUUUCCUGCACCACCUUUGGGGGCCCAAGGGGGUCUUCCACCACCGACACAUUUGUUAGGCUGCAACAUCAUAGAGCUGGAGAAGGCUUGGGUCUGACCUGGCAAGUAAGUGGUCCUCCUCUUCCUCAGAGGGUCUGCCAAGUCCUGUUCUGCUCUCUAUGCAAGCCCAGGGUGAUGUUUUUGGGGAUGAUCCAAGCCGUCCUCAUGUCUUAAAUUUAUUUUGCCAGUGAUGCAAUGGGAAGCUCAAAACUCCUUGGAUCCCCUUCCCAUCGAUGGCUGAAACUAGAAAACCUACUGAAAAUCCCAUCUUAUUUUCCCCAGUUGUGAGCUGAGGUGCUCCACAGUGACUUGAUGCAGACAGGUUAAUGCUCACAUGCCAGUUAAUGUACCCUGGGUGGAAACACUGCCUUUGCUGUGUGCUGUGCUCUGGUACCCACUUGCACAUAC